rnacentral:misc_RNA from 1 species
UACGAGGGCUCCAAGCGUUAUUCGGAUUUAUUGGGCGUAAAGCGUGCGUAGGAGGAUAAGUUAGUUCAAUGUUAAAUCUCGGGGCUCAACUUCGAGGCCGCAUUGAAUACUGCCUAUCUAGAGUAUGCAAGAGGUUGAUGGAACUCACGGUGUAGGGGUGAAAUCCGUUGAUAUCGUGGGGAACACCAAAGGCGAAGGCAUUCAACUGGUGCAUUACUGACUCUAAGGCACGAAAGCGUGGGGAGCAAAAAGG